GAUGAACGCUGGCGGCGUGCCUAAUACAUGCAAGUCGAGCGAACGGACGAGAAGCUUGCUUCUCUGAUGUUAGCGGCGGACGGGUGAGUAACACGUGGAUAACCUACCUAUAAGACUGGGAUAACUUCGGGAAACCGGAGCUAAUACCGGAUAAUAUUUUGAACCGCAUGGUUCAAAAGUAAAAGACGGUCUUGCUGUCACUUAUAGAUGGAUCCGCGCUGCAUUAGCUAGUUGGUAAGGUAACGGCUUACCAAGGCAACGAUGCAUAGCCGACCUGAGAGGGUGAUCGGCCACACUGGAACUGAGACACGGUCCAGACUCCUACGGGAGGCAGCAGUAGGGAAUCUUACGCAAUGGGCGAAAGCCUGACCGAGCAACGCCGCGUGAGUGAUGAAGGUCUUCGGAUCGUAAAACUCUGUUAUUAGGGAAGAACAUAUGUGUAAGUAACUGUGCACAUCUUGACGGUACCUAAUCAGAAAGCCACGGCUAACUACGUG
rnacentral:rRNA from 1 species